GGCCGUCGGUUUUGGGGGCUUCUUCUUCAGCUGAAGGGAGAGAGAGCGAGGGGGCAACAGAGAGAGAGAGAGAGAGAGGCCGCGAGUGAGAUUCGAGCAAGAGGGAGCGAGAACGACUGACAGAGGGCAAGUGAGAUGGAGAGUGGGAGCUAAGCCAAGGAGUGAAAACGUGAGCUUAUUGCAGCCGAAGAGGUCUGCUCCCGAUGAACGCCGACGCUCGCGGUUCUCUUUUUCAGCCUAUAUACUCUCGGUAAGCCCCCGUUCUGUUUGUUUCAAAUCGGUUCACCUGAUGAUCCCGGCUCUGAGACGUGCGUGGCGAACGGACUGUGUCUGACAUAUCUCCAGUUCGCCAUCCAUUCAUUCGCCGUCGUCGAGCCGGGUAGGGCCAUCUCCGGUGACGACGCCCUCGGUUUGUCUCGACUUGACUGAGGCCAAGGCUUGUCGUUCGCCAUUGAUGCUUGUGUUAAUGUGAAGGGAUCGUUUCGGAGUCUACUUGAGCAUUGUUUGUUCGCUAUAUGAUGAUUUUGGCUUGGGUUUUUGUCUCGGAUGUCUCUGGAUGCGCCCCCUCGAUUGACGCCCGCUAGGCGUUUGGCAUGAUGCCCGAACAAGAUCCGCUUUGGCCUCAUUCGGUUUUCGGCUUCUGUUUUGUUCUGAACUGUGUUUUAGUCAUUGAACGUGAUUCUGAUGAAUUUUUAAUUGUUGCUUCGUCGUGAGAGGCGCCUUUCCUUUUGGGGCAUUCUGUGCUUAUCGGCCAGCGUAGUGAUGGUUUUCGAAGAGCGUGGGAAUCAAAAUCCAUUCCUAAAAUGAAAUAUUCCUCACUCUAAUCCCCCUGAGAAGUAAGGGAUUUGAAUCCCCACCUCCCAUUCCAAGUUAGAAGCUGUGAAGGAGUCGUGGUUCUGGGAAAGUGAACCGGGCGUGGAAGAAGAAAAAAAAAAAAA